rnacentral:misc_RNA from 1 species
GAUGAAGAACGUAGCGAAAUGCGAUAAGUAGUGUGAAUUGCAGAAUUCAGUGAAUCAUCGAAUCUUUGAACGCACAUUGCGCCCUUUGGUAUUCCUUAGGGCAUGCCUGUUCGAGCGUCAUUUAAACCUUCAAGCUAAGCUUGGUGUUGGGUGACUGUCCGCUUCACGGCGGACUCGCCUCAAAAUUAUUGGCGGCCGGUACAUUGGCUUCGAGCGCAGCAGAAACGCGAACUCGGGCCCGUCGUAUUGGCUCCCAGAAGCUAUCUUCACAAUUUUGACCUCGGAUCAGGUAGUGAUACCCGCUGAACUUAAGCAUAUCAAUAAGCGGAGGA